UACGUAGGGACCAAGCGUUGUUCGGAUUUACUGGGCGUAAAGGGCGCGUAGGCGGCCUGUUAAGUCGAACGUGAAAUCCCCGGGCUCAACCCGGGAACUGCGUCCGAUACUGGCAGGCUUGAAUCCGGGAGAGGGAUGCGGAAUUCCAGGUGUAGCGGUGAAAUGCGUAGAUAUCUGGAGGAACACCGGUGGCGAAGGCGGCAUCCUGGACCGGCAUUGACGCUGGAGGCGCGAAAGCCAGGGGAGCAAACGGGG
rnacentral:rRNA from 1 species